rnacentral:rRNA from 1 species
CCUACGGGGGGCUGCAGUGGGGAAUAUUGGACAAUGGGGGGAACCCUGAUCCAGCCAUGCCGCGUGUGUGAAGAAGGCCCUCGGGUUGUAAAGCACUUUCAAUGAGGAAGAACGCCUGGUGGUUAAUACCCAUCAGGAAAGACAUCACUCACAGAAGAAGCACCGGCUAACUCCGUGCCAGCAGCCGCGGUAAUACGGAGGGUGCGAGCGUUAAUCGGAAUUACUGGGCGUAAAGCGCGCGUAGGUGGCUUGAUAAGCCGGUUGUGAAAGCCCCGGGCUCAACCUGGGAACGGCAUCCGGAACUGUCAAGCUAGAGUGCAGGAGAGGAAGGUAGAAUUCCCGGUGUAGCGGUGAAAUGCGUAGAGAUCGGGAGGAAUACCAGUGGCGAAGGCGGCCUUCUGGACUGACACUGACACUGAGGUGCGAAAGCGUGGGUAGCAAACAGGAUUAGAUACCCCAGUAGUC